CAGUAUGUAGACAUUUAUUACAUUUUAUUUAGUUCAAACUGACAGAGGGGAAGUUACACAUCUAUCCGCAAUAUAAAUUGUUAUUCACUCAUUCCAAGGCGGAACAUAUGGUAUGAAAAAGCAACAGGCAGUAUACAGCCAUAGUAAAGAGAGCUCAUAUACAGUUUAGUAUUAUUGUGGAUGAUUUAUAGUUUUUGUCUACGACAAUAUUACAGUAGGUAAUGCCCAUGCAAUAAUCCACGGGAUGUGAAAGAUAAAAUGUUUUAUAUUGCAUUAUUAAGAUGUUGACCAUUUGUAAAGUGAAUAUAAGCCAUUCAGACAUGGUGUAUAACCGGAUGGAGAGAAAUUCUGCAGGAACUGGGUGGG